UGUGAAGUUACUUAAACAACCAGGAGGUUGGCUUAGAAGCAGCCAUCCUUUAAAGAAAGCGUAAUAGCUCACUGGUCUAGUGAUUUUGCGCGGAAAAUAUAACGGGGCUAAAGUAAGUACCGAAGCUGUAGACUUGCACACAACUUAGAUUAUUUAAGUUUAGAAUAUUAAGAAACUAAGUUAUAUGUUUUAGUUAUAUUUUUACUGAUUUUUAUAGGGUAAAGAUAGAAAUAAAACUUAGUAAAAUCAGUAAAAAUAUUCUUAGGCUAAAGUUAAGUAGUUUAAGUUGUGUGCAAGUGGUAGGAGAGCGUUCUAUUUGCGUCGAAGGUAUACCGGUAAGGAGUGCUGGAGCGAAUAGAAGUGAGCAUGCAGGCAUGAGUAGCGAUAAUUAAUGUGAGAAUCAUUAACGCCGUAAACCCAAGGUUUCCUACGCGAUGCUCGUCAUCGUAGGGUUAGUCGGGUCCUAAGUCGAGUCCGAAAGGGGUAGACGAUGGCAAAUUGGUUAAUAUUCCAAUACCAACAUUAGUGUGCGAUGGAAGGACGCUUAGGGCUAAGGGGGCUAGCGGAUGGAAGUGCUAGUCUAAGGUCGUAGGAGGUUAUACAGGCAAAUCCGUAUAACAAUACUCCGAGAACUGAAAGGCUUUUUGAAGUCUUCGGAUGGAUAGAAGAACCCCUGAUGCCGUCGAGCCAAGAAAAGUUUCUAAGUUUAGCUAAUGUUGCCCGUACCGUAAACCGACACAGGUGGGUGGGAUGAGUAUUCUAAGGCGCGUGGAAGAACUCUCUUUAAGGAACUCUGCAAAAUAGCACCGUAUCUUC
rnacentral:rRNA from 1 species